rnacentral:rRNA from 1 species
UACGUAGGGUGCGAGCGUUAAUCGGAAUUACUGGGCGUAAAGCGUGCGCAGGCGGUUUUGUAAGCCAGGUGUGAAAUCCCCGGGCUCAACCUGGGAAUGGCAUUUGGGACUGCAAGGCUGGAGUGUGGCAGAGGAGACUGGAAUUCCUGGUGUAGCAGUGAAAUGCGUAGAGAUCGGGAGGAACACCAGUGGCGAAGGCGGCUACCUGGACCAGCACUGACACUGAGGCACGAAAGCGUGGGGAGCAAACAGG